AGUUUGAUCAUGGCUCAGGAUGAACGCUAGCUACAGGCUUAACACAUGCAAGUCGAGGGUAGCAGGUAGCAAUACCGCUGACGACCGGCGCACGGGUGGUAACACGUAUCCAACCUUCCCAUAACUCAGGGAUAGCCUUUCGAAAGAAAGAUUAAUACCUGAUAGUACUUUUUCAAGGCAUCUUGAGAAAGUUAAAGAUUUAUUGGUUAUGGAUGGGGAUGCGUUCCAUUAGAUAGUUGGUGAGGUAACGGCUCACCAAGUCUUCGAUGGAUAGGGGUUCUGAGAGGAAGGUCCCCACAUUGGUACUGAGACACGGACCAAACUCCUACGGGAGGCAGCAGUGAGGAAUAUUGGUCAAUGGGCGAGAGCCUGAACCAGCCAAGUAGCGUGAAGGAUGAAGGUCCUAUGGAUUGUAAACUUCUUUUAUAGUAGAAUAAAGUGAUCCACGUGUGGAUUUUUGUAUGUAUACUAUGAAUAAGGAUCGGCUAACUCCGUGCCAGCCGCAGC
rnacentral:rRNA from 1 species